rnacentral:rRNA from 1 species
AGAGUUUGAUCCUGGCUCAGGAUGAACGCUAGCUACAGGCUUAACACAUGCAAGUCGAGGGGCAGCAUGGUCUUAGCUUGCUAAGGCCGAUGGCGACCGGCGCACGGGUGAGUAACACGUAUCCAACCUGCCGUCUACUCUUGGACAGCCUUCUGAAAGGAAGAUUAAUACAAGAUGGCAUCAUGAGUCCGCAUGUUCACAUGAUUAAAGGUAUUCCGGUAGACGAUGGGGAUGCGUUCCAUUAGAUAGUAGGCGGGGUAACGGCCCACCUAGUCUUCGAUGGAUAGGGGUUCUGAGAGGAAGGUCCCCCACAUUGGAACUGAGACACGGUCCAAACUCCUACGGGAGGCAGCAGUGAGGAAUAUUGGUCAAUGGGCGAGAGCCUGAACCAGCCAAGUAGCGUGAAGGAUGACUGCCCUAUGGGUUGUAAACUUCUUUUAUAAAGGAAUAAAGUCGGGUAUGCAUACCCGUUUGCAUGUACUUUAUGAAUAAGGAUCGGCUAACUCCGUGCCAGCAGCCGCGGUAAUACGGAGGAUCCGAGCGUUAUCCGGAUUUAUUGGGUUUAAAGGGAGCGUAGAUGGAUGUUUAAGCCAGUUGUGAAAGUUUGCGGCUCAACCGUAAAAUUGCAGUUGAUACUGGAUAUCUUGAGUGCAGUCGAGGCAGGCGGAAUUCGUGGUGUAGCGGUGAAAUGCUUAGAUAUCACGAAGAACUCCGAUUGCGAAGGCAGCCUGCUAAGCUGCAACUGACAUUGAGGCUCGAAAGUGUGGGUAUCAAACAGGAUUAGAUACCCUGGUAGUCCACACGGUAAACGAUGAAUACUCGCUGUUUGCGAUAUACAGCAAGCGGCCAAGCGAAAGCGUUAAGUAUUCCACCUGGGGAGUACGCUGGCAACGGUGAAACUCAAAGGAAUUGACGGGGGCCCGCACAAGCGGAGGAACAUGUGGUUUAAUUCGAUGAUACGCGAGGAACCUUACCCGGGCUUAAAUUGCAGAUGAAUUACGGUGAAAGCCGUAAGCCGCAAGGCAUCUGUGAAGGUGCUGCAUGGUUGUCGUCAGCUCGUGCCGUGAGGUGUCGGCUUAAGUGCCAUAACGAGCGCAACCCUUGUUGUCAGUUACUAACAGGUUCUGCUGAGGACUCUGACAAGACUGCCAUCGUAAGAUGUGAGGAAGGUGGGGAUGACGUCAAAUCAGCACGGCCCUUACGUCCGGGGCUACACACGUGUUACAAUGGGGGGUACAGAGGGCCGCUACCACGCGAGUGGAUGCCAAUCCCCAUAACCUCUCUCAGUUCGGACUGGAGUCUGCAACCCGACUCCACGAAGCUGGAUUCGCUAGUAAUCGCGCAUCAGCCACGGCGCGGUGAAUACGUUCCCGGGCCUUGUACACACCGCCCGUCAAGCCAUGGGAGCCGGGGGUACCUGAAGUGCGUAACCGCGAGGAGCGCCCUAGGGUAAAACUGGUGACUGGGGCUAAGUCGUAACAAGGUA